rnacentral:rRNA from 1 species
GACCUCAGAUCAGGCAAGACCACCCGCUGAGUUUAAGCAUAUCACUAAGCGGAGGAAAAGAAACUAACAAGGAUUUCCCUAGUAACGGCGAGCGAAC